rnacentral:misc_RNA from 1 species
GAAAUGGCAAUUUCUGUUCCAGGUCAAGUGAGCUAAAAGCUUCCCGUUAGAUAGUUUAAUUUAUGGUUGGACUCUGUUCAUUUGUUUUCUUGAAAUUGGAUUACAGUGAUGAAUCUCAUAGUUUAGUUAGGAAUAGUUAGACUUACUAAGAGUUUUAAGAAUCUUAUGUUGAUCUAAAUCUUAGUGCCUGUUCAGCCCAUAAUUUAAAUCGUAACAAGGAAUAUUAUUUUUAAAAUGUAACGUAAGGAAAUGACAAUGAUUGGAUAAAAAACAAAACGCAGAAGCCAGCGUUGUUGGAAGAUCGGUGUGAAAUGUUAAUGGGGAAUCUUAGGAGUACAAUAAUAUACAGUAUAGUAUUAGUACUAAUUCAAUUAUUCAAAUAAUAAAAUGAUAUCUCUUU